GCCUGGAUAGCUCAGUUGGAUAGAGUGUGGUGCUGGGAACGCCAAGGUUGCAGGUUUGAUGCCUGCAUGGGGCA